rnacentral:rRNA from 1 species
GACGAACGCUGGCGGCGUGCCUAAUACAUGCAAGUCGAACGCAGUGGGGACGGGUGAGUAACACGUGGGUAACCUCCCAUCAGAGGGGAUAACACUUGGAAACAGGUGCUAAACCCUAUUGGAGCGGCCGAUAUCGGAUUAGCUAGUUGGUGGGGUAAAGGCUCACCAAGGCAACGAUCCGUAGCUGGUUUGAGAGGACGACCAGCCACACUGGGACUGAGACACGGCCCCGACUCCUACGGGAGGCAGCAGUAGGGAAUCUUCGGCAAUGGACGAAAGUCUGACCGAGCAACGCCGCUUGAUUGAAGAAGGUUUUCGGAUCGUAAAACUCUUUUGUUAUAGAAGCGGUAUCUAACCAGAAAGCCACGGCUAACUACGUGCCAGCAGCCGCGGUAAUUC